UGUUUUUAUCGAUGAAAUGUGUAAAUUUGGCAAAGGAACUGGAUACAACACUGUAGAAACUGGACUGGGGUUGAGUUGCGUCGUCCGACAUACCGACUGUAUUGAUCUUCUGUGUUGACUGCGUUCGAACUACGAAGCAGGUCACUAUGUAAUAGAUCUACAUAAGAUUCUCUAUCAAGCUUAGAAGACCACAUACGUAGGGGAUUUGAAUGAAACAAAAUUACUGUAGCUGUCUUCUUUGACAGUUAAAAGGCAUACAAUACUCCAUAGAGGAAGCAGUUGAAUGCAUC